UACUAGCGGUCCAAGUCGCAGCCAUUUUUAUUGGGUCUAAAACAUCCGUAGCUUGUUUGAUAAGUUUUUUGUGAAAUCCCAUGUCUCAAGCAUGGGGCGCGCAGAAAAUACUAUCAGGCUAGAGACUGGAAGACGUGAUGAGUACAAUCGAGGUAGCGGUAAAAUGUUUUAAUCUUGGUUGGACUAACAAGAGCGAAGGCACAUCACGAGGACAGUUCUGACAGUAAGGGAUGAAGGCCAGGGGCGCAAAACGGAUUAGAUACCCGCGUA
rnacentral:rRNA from 1 species